rnacentral:rRNA from 1 species
GUAGGGAAUCUUCGGCAAUGGACGAAAGUCUGACCGAGCAACGCCGCGUGAGUGAAGAAGGUUUUCGGAUCGUAAAACUCUGUUGUUAGAGAAGAAUGUUGAUUAGAGUGGAAAAUUAAUCAAGUGACGGUAUCUAACCAGAAAGGGACGGCUAACUACGUGCCAGCAGCCGCGGUAAUACGUAGGUCCCGAGCGUUGUCCGGAUUUAUUGGGCGUAAAGCGAGCGCAGGUGGUUUAAUAAGUCUGAUGUAAAAGGCAGUGGCUCAACCAUUGUGUGCAUUGGAAACUGUUAGACUUGAGUGCAGUAGAGGAGGGUGGAAUUCCAUGUGUAGCGGUGAAAUGCGUAGAUAUAUGGAGGAACACCGGUGGCGAAAGCGGCUCUCUGGACUGUCACUGACACUGAGGCUCGAAAGCGUGGGUAGCAAACAGGAUUAGAUACCCUUGUAGUCC